UACCUGCCUAUCAUUGCUAAGCUACUUCCC
rnacentral:piRNA from 1 species